rnacentral:rRNA from 1 species
UGGGGAAUAUUGGUCAAUGGGCGAAAGCCUGAACCAGCCAUGCCGCGUGAGUGAUGAAGGCCUUAGGGUUGUAAAGCUCUUUCGGCGGGGAAGAUAAUGACGGUACCCGCAGAAGAAGCCCCGGCUAACUUCGUGCCAGCAGCCGCGGUAAUACGAAGGGGGCUAGCGUUGUUCGGAAUCACUGGGCGUAAAGCGCGCGUAGGCGGGUCGUUAAGUCAGGGGUGAAAUCCCGAGGCUCAACCUCGGAACUGCCUUUGAUACUGGCGACCUUGAGUCCGGGAGAGGUGAGUGGAACUCCUAGUGUAGAGGUGAAAUUCGUAGAUAUUAGGAAGAACACCAGUGGCGAAGGCGGCUCACUGGCCCGGUACUGACGCUGAUGCGCGAAAGCGUGGGGAGCAAACAGG